rnacentral:rRNA from 1 species
ACAAGCGGAGGAGCAUGUGGUUUAAUUCGAUGAUACGCGAGGAACGUUACCUGGGCGUCGAACGUAAGAUGACUGUAGGUGAAAGCUUACAUCUCUUCGGAGCAUUUUACGAGGUGCUGCAUGGUUGUCGUCAGCUCGUGCCGUGAGGUGUCGGGUUAAGUCCCAUAACGAGCGCAACCCCUACCUUUAGUUGCCAUCAGGUAAUGCUGGGGACUCUAAAGGAACUGCCUACGCAAGUAGUGAGGAAGGCGGGGAUGACGUCAAAUCAGCACGGCCCUUACGUCCAGGGCUACACACGUGCUACAAUGGCCGAUACAGAGGGCAGCUACCUGGUGACAGGAUGCAAAUCUCCAAAGUCGGUCUCAGUUCGGAUCGGAGUCUGCAACCCGACUCCGUGAAGUUGGAUUCGCUAGUAAUCGCGCAUCAGCCAUGGCGCGGUGAAUACGUUCCCGGGCCUU